AUUGAACGCUGGCGGCAGGCCUAACACAUGCAAGUCGAACGGUAACAGGAAGCAGCUUGCUGCUUCGCUGACGAGUGGCGGACGGGUGAGUAAUGUCUGGGAAACUGCCUGAUGGAGGGGGAUAACUACUGGAAACGGUAGCUAAUACCGCAUAACGUCGCAAGACCAAAGAGGGGGACCUUCGGGCCUCUUGCCAUCGGAUGUGCCCAGAUGGGAUUAGCUAGUAGGUGGGGUAACGGCUCACCUAGGCGACGAUCCCUAGCUGGUCUGAGAGGAUGACCAGCCACACUGGAACUGAGACACGGUCCAGACUCCUACGGGAGGCAGCAGUGGGGAAUAUUGCACAAUGGGCGCAAGCCUGAUGCAGCCAUGCCGCGUGUAUGAAGAA
rnacentral:rRNA from 1 species